UGGUCCCUACGGGAGGCAGCAGUAGGGAAUCUUCCACAAUGGACGAAAGUCUGAUGGAGCAACGCCGCGUGAGUGAAGAAGGGUUUCGGCUCGUAAAGCUCUGUUGGUAGUGAAGAAAGAUAGAGGUAGUAACUGGCCUUUAUUUGACGGUAAUUACUUAGAAAGUCACGGCUAACUACGUGCCAGCAGCCGCGGGAAUACGUAGGUGGCAAGCGUUUUCCGGAUUUAUUUGGCGUAA
rnacentral:rRNA from 1 species